rnacentral:rRNA from 1 species
UACGGAAGGGGCAAGCGUUGUUCGGAAUCAUUGGGCGUAAGGGGCGCGUAGGUGGUUCUGUAUGUCUACCGUGAAAGCGUACGGCUCAACCGUAUUUUGUCGGUGGAAACUGCAGGACUUGAGGCUGGGAGGGGCUGGUGGAAUUCCCUGUGUAGCGGUGAAAUGCGUAGAGAUGGGGGAGAACACUCGUGGCGAAGGCGGCCAGCUAGACCAGUUCUGACACUGAGGCGCGACAGCGUGGGGAGCAAACAGG